rnacentral:rRNA from 1 species
UAACCGGCGAUUUCCGAAUGGGGAAACCCAGUGUGAUUCGUCACACUAUCAUUAACUGAAUCCAUAGGUUAAUGAGGCGAACCGGGGGAACUGAAACAUCUAAGUACCCCGAGGAAAAGAAAUCAACCGAGAUUCCCCCAGUAGCGGCGAGCGAACGGGGAGCAGCCCAGAGCCUGAAUCAGUGUGUGUGUUAGUGGAAGCGUCUGGAAAGGCGCGCGAUACAGGGUGACAGCCCCGUACACAAAAAUGCACAUAUUGUGAGCUCGAUGAGUAGGGCGGGACACGUGGUAUCCUGUCUGAAUAUGGGGGGCCCAUCCUCCAAGGCUAAAUACUCCUGACUGACCGAUAGUGAACCAGUACCGUGAGGGAAAGGCGAAAAGAACCCCGGCGAGGGGAGUGAAAAAGAACCUGAAACCGUGUACGUACAAGCAGUGGGAGCACGCUUAGGCGUGUGACUGCGUACCUUUUGUAUAAUGGGUCAGCGACUUAUAUUCUGUAGCAAGGUUAACCGAAUAGGGGAGCCGAAGGGAAACCGAGUCUUAACUGGGCGUUAAGUUGCAGGGUAUAGACCCGAAACCCGGUGAUCUAGCCAUGGGCAGGUUGAAGGUUGGGUAACACUAACUGGAGGACCGAACCGACUAAUGUUGAAAAAUUAGCGGAUGACUUGUGGCUGGGGGUGAAAGGCCAAUCAAACCGGGAGAUAGCUGGUUCUCCCCGAAAGCUAUUUAGGUAGCGCCUCGUGAAUUCAUCUCCGGGGGUAGAGCACUGUUUCGGCAAGGGGGUCAUCCCGACUUACCAACCCGAUGCAAACUGCGAAUACCGGAGAAUGUUAUCACGGGAGACACACGGCGGGUGCUAACGUCCGUCGUGAAGAGGGAAACAACCCAGACCGCCAGCUAAGGUCCCAAAGUCAUGGUUAAGUGGGAAACGAUGUGGGAAGGCCCAGACAGCCAGGAUGUUGGCUUAGAAGCAGCCAUCAUUUAAAGAAAGCGUAAUAGCUCACUGGUCGAGUCGGCCUGCGCGGAAGAUGUAACGGGGCUAAACCAUGCACCGAAGCUGC